rnacentral:rRNA from 1 species
UACGAAGGGGGCUAGCGUUGCUCGGAAUUACUGGGCGUAAAGCGCACGUAGGCGGCUUCUUAAGUCGGUGGUGAAAUCCUGGAGCUCAACUCCAGAACUGCCUUCGAUACUGGGAAGCUCGAGUCCGGGAGAGGUGAGUGGAACUGCGAGUGUAGAGGUGAAAUUCGUAGAUAUUCGCAAGAACACCAGUGGCGAAGGCGGCUCACUGGCCCAGUACUGACGCUGAGGUGCGAAAGCGUGGGGAGCAAACAGG